UGGACUUCAGAGAGGCUUGUUGGCUGCUGUUCACCUGGCAGGCUUCUAGAUACCAGAGUACCCUUGGGCUUGGUGCCUGCUCCUCUCUCUAUUGACACCCUCCCUGUAGGAUGCCUCAGUGAGUUUACUGCUGUCUAUUUGUAGCUAAGGACGUGAGGUUUAUACCUCCAUCCAUUCAAACUCCUCCUGGGUCCAGACUCAUAUAUUGAAAUGUCAGCCUAACUCUCUGUAUUGACCUCUUUAUGCAUUAUAAUGAUACAUUCCUCAUAUGGCCAUCAUGAAAAGCAAACAUGAAAGGGAAAGCACAGGAGUGCCUGGCACCAGUGUAGGUACUCAAUGAACAUUAGCUGUUGGUAUUAUUCUUGACAUCCCCAUGUGGGGUGAAGUUUUAUUACCUGACAUCUCCAUGUGAAUAUCUAACACCCACACCAUGUUAUCUAGGCUAUGAAACAAUUCUUGGUUCCAACCACCAUUCCAUUCUUAUCGAUGAAUUUCUCAAGGCUUCAGUGAUGGGAUUGUGUGUUUUUCCACACAAUGGACGUGAUUAGGAAUGGUUGGCUAGGUCCUACACAAUAAAUUGCUCCAGCAUUCCUAUGGAUGACCAUUGAGACAAGUUUCAGCCAACGAAUGUAGCAAAGAAUUGGAACCACUCUCAGGUGUUCAUGCGAGUACUCUCAAUCCAGAGUAUCUGGUAAGUCGACUGUUAGGGAUUGAAUUGUGUCCCUCCAAAAUGUAUGUGGAAAUCCUAACCCCGGUACCUGUAAAUCUGACCUUGUUAGGAAAGAGGGGGCCUGCUUUUAUUAUGUGAAUGAGGUCAUACCAAUGUAGGGUGGGUCCUAAGCCUAACUCUUCUUAGUUAUAAAAGGAGCAGAACACACACAGACACAAACAGGUGAAAAGGAAGACAGACAAAGAAGACAGAUGCUUCUAGAAGGCCAGAAACACAAAUGAUUGCUGGCAUCUACUAGAAGCUGAGGUAGACAAGGAAGGACCUCCCACUACAGCCAUGCCCUGAAUUCGAACGACUACCUGCUAAACCGUGAGAAAGUAAAUUUCUGUUCUUUAAAGCCAUCUAGUUGUGACAUUUUUUGUUAUGGAGGGACUAGGUAACUAACACACAUAACCGUGCUUAUAAGUUCAGCCCAGUGCAGAAUAAUUUUCUUCCCUCCUUGGUCUAGCCCACCCGAACCUGCUCUUUCCCUAUCAGUGUCCUUUGCUUUCACCUAAGAGUUAUGACAGAGUCAGCUCGAUGGUGAUGCAUUGAAAUUUCAAUUUAUUUUAUAUUUAUGAUUAUUAUUAAUUCCAGUAUUUUCUACAGUUUUCAAUGGAGACAGUCUUAUAAUCUAUGAAUAGCAUUUAUACUUUUUGUUUUUUUGUACUAGCUUACACUUCCAGUGUUAAAUGUUUAAUAAAAGUAAUGAUAGAAGCACCCUUAUUUUAUUGUUUAUUAAUUUUAAAGAGAAUGUCCCACACGUCACCAUGAACUAUCAUGCUAGUUGUAGUUUUCCACGUUCGGGAACUCCUUUUCUGUUCCAUGUUUGCUCCUAGCCCUUAUCUCUCCGUGUGAUUGGAUUUUAUCAACCUGCUUUGCCCCCAUCUCUUGAGGUGAGGAUAUGUCUUCUCUUCUUUCACCUAUGCAUGUGGUGAAUGAAAUUACUAAAUCUUUAAUGUUCACUCAAAUUUGUAUGCCUACAAUCAACCGCCUUGAUCAUGGCAUGUUACGUGGUUUAUACUUUGCUGGAUUUCCUUUGCUUGGCGUCUUACGUAGGGUUUUGCAUCUCAGUUACUGAGUGUGCUUGUCCUCUAACUCUUCUUCUACUAUCCUUCUCUAGUUUGUUAUCAAUUUUAAACUAGCCUUAAGGAUCAAGUUAGGGGAAUAUCUCAUGAUUUUCUAAUCUCUGUUGACUACGUACAAGAUUAAAAUGACUGUUUCUUGCAUGUUUGCUGGAACCUGACUGGAAACGAUCUAGGUCUGCCGUUUUCUUUGUAGGGAGAUGUUGAACUACUGACCCACUUUAUUUAGUGGUUAAAGGCAUCUUCUGGUGCUAAUUUACUUAGAAAAAAUUCUGAUGCAUGUUCUAGGGUGCUCGAAUCUCAUCUUUAAAUAUUGAUUAUCAGGGCUUGUAGCCUCAUGCAAGCCAAUUCAUCAAUCCCAGAUUUCCCCAAAGUCAGGCUCUGCAACUCUUCCCGGUACCAAAUUCCCUCAUUUAAGACUUAUUUGCAAAGAAAGAGACAACAGUAUGCUAUCUACGCAGUUGUGUAUCCGCAGCCUUCUUGAGUCCAUAUUGUGAGGAUACAGUCUUCUAAUACUUUUUUUGUAAUUGUUCUUUUUCUUAUUUUUUUUUUUCCUUUUUUCACUGCCAAUACACCCCCUCCCCCAAUCUAGUAGUUUUAAAGUUGUGCGUUUCAGGUUCAAGUCUGUAAUCCAGCUGGGCUUCUGUUUGUGCUGCAUGUGUGCAUCAAAAGAACGUGCUUCUAGAAGUAGAAAGCAGGCAGUGAGACUGUUGGGUGGUUGGCGGGGUAGGGGGAGGGGAGCUGCUGCUCAGAGAGGGCGCCCGAGGGAGGCACGAGAUGCCGGGCUGCCCACCGCAAGCCCGCAGACUCCAAGGAGGUGGAACCUGCGUGCGCCAUGAGCCUUUUGAGACAGGCCCAAGCCCGCCCAGCCGGGUGCUUGCAAGUUCCACCAGGACUAGGGGAAGCCUAAGGCCAAGGAGGGCAAGGUCUAGGGUCUGGACCUGAGAACUGGUUCUGCCACUUGUGAUCGCAGAGCUUAUGCUGGAAAGGAGGGCAGGAAGCAUAUCACAAUGUGUGUCCGGAGGAUGACCCAGAAGGGCGGGAGUUGUGGUCACCCAGGGACUCUGGGUCUGCAUAUGGAGGCCCCCAGGGUGCAAUUCCAGGAGCAGAAGGCAAAGCCACAGAGGCCAAAGUGCACCUCGCCAAUGCUUCCCAGGGGCAUUGCCCCAAAUAUGGGGAGCAGUCCCUACUCUGGGCUAGGGACUUUGUUUCCUCCAUUGUCAUCACUGACUGUGAGCAGACUCUAGUCUAUGCAGACUAAUGAGGAGUUAUCAAAAUGAGCUCCAAACUCCGGAUUUGAGUUAAGGAUCAUAAACUAACAUAGAGAAAUACGACUUUAGCAAUAAGUGACUGUUUGAAGCCCAAGUUGCCUUAAAACACAGAAUUUCAGUCUUUCAGCUCCUCUGCUAACGUAAUAACUAAGAACAGAAUCUCACUGGAGCUCAAAGAUGUGGGGCACUGGGAAUACUCCUGGGUCUGUCUGCUCACGGCUGAUUGCCUGAUUCCCAGUUUUAUUAUACAGCUUAAAUACAGACCAGAAGAGGAGUUUGGGGCUUGACAUCUGACAUCUUAACACCAGUUCCUGUUUCUUGAGGAAGGAAGAGGUAAAAUAAAUCAGCGUUUACUGUGUCCUUCUCCAUCCCCGGAAGUCCUUGUGAAGACCCUCUCAGAGAUGCAACACACACAGAAAUCCCAGCUGGAUUACAGACUUGAACCCGAAGACCUUAUGCAGAAUGACUAUUUAUGAACCACUAAACUCAGUACUAAAGCAGCUUCAACUUGAACGUGAAUAUGAGCAACUGAUCGUCUGUUCUGCAGUCAGCCCCUGGCCUGAUUCUGACUCAUGAUAUUGACCUUCUCCAUCAUCACCUUCCACAAAUUUGAUUCCUGUCUAUUCUGCCUGGAAUGGUUCAUAAGUAUAGUCACCGUUUAUGUUCCUGAUGAAAGGUAUGUGCAAUGAAUAAGUCACUGGUCUUGCCAAAUUCUAUCAUGUAAGCUUCAUUGUCAUUUCUAUCAUCAAUACCUUAUUUUCCAACUGCUGAUUUGUCUGCUUUGUUUUCAACUUCGCAUUCUAAAUGAUUGAUCAAUGCAUCACGUUUGAUCAGUUUCAAACUGUAUAACUUGGUAAAAACCUUCAACUUGUUCAUCUUUCACAUUCAUGAUUUGUGUGUAAAUUUGAAUAAUAGUCUUAUUAACUGGUCGUCCUGGUAGGCCUGUGGAUAUUAUCCUAUUGCUUGUAGUGUUGUACUUCAGAAAAGAUCUUGAUAUGUUCUUUUUAUCGAUGAAUAUGAUGCCGUUCUCUUUAGUAUCUCAAUCCUGGCAUAGUAGAACAUAUCAUUGUCUAGUUUAAAAUGUCCAAAACCAAGCUAUUUCAGCUCACUAAUGCCUUGGAUUACUGACCUUUAUGCAUUCCAUUUCAUUUUUGAUGACUUCCAAUUUCCCUAGAUUCAUACUUCCUUCAUUCCACAUUCUGAUUAUUAAAGGAUAUUUGCAUCAGUUUCUUCUCAUUAUGAGUUAUGCCCCAUCAGGAAAUGUCAUUAAAGUGGGAUCUACUUUGAGGAGGUAGCUCUUCCCCACUCGUAUUUUGAGUGCCUUCCAACCUAAGGGGUUAUCCUCUGUCAUUCAAUCAGACAGUGUUCCAGUGCUAUUUGUAAGAUUUCACUGGCCAGUUUUUUUUAGAAAUAGAUCACUAGGUCCUUUUUCCUAGUCUGUCUAAAUCCAGAGCUCCACUCAAACCUGUCUACCAUGGGUGAACCUGGUGGUAUUUGAAAUACCGGUGGCAUAGCUUCUAACAUCACAGCAACAUGCAAGCCACCACACUACAACAAACUGACAGAAGAGUGGUGGGAGUUAAAAAUGAGAAGAACCAAAAAGAGUGCUUCUUCCAUGUCUGCUGAUUUAGAGGAACCAUGAAAAAUUGUCAAGUGAAGAGUGAUUCAGAGAAAAACAUGGGUAGAGUGUGACCUAAUUUCCAUAAAAACAAACAAAUGAAUGUCCUUACGUGUGUCCCGGCAAAAAGCAGUGUGUAAAAGGGUACAUGUGUAUCUUUGGACACUGGACACUUCAGGGGAGCUGGUACAAUAUACUUAUGUGGGGCUGGCUCUUAUUAUAACUUCUGUAUACAAAUCUCUAUUGUUAAAUGUGUUAUAAGAAUGUAAAACCUUUUAAAGUUAAUAACAUCAUACGUGUAUGUGUGUGUAUUUGAAACUUUUUUUCUGUUUUGACUAUUUUAUAUAUGUGUUUUUUAGUUAUCUAGUGUGGCUAUAGCAGAGAUACCACAAGUGGAUGGCUUUAACAAACAGAAGCUUAUUCUCUCACAGUUUAAGAAGCAAGAAGUUUGAAGUCAGGGCACCAGCUCUAGGAGAAAGCUUUCUCUGUUUGUGGCUCUGGGGGAAGGCCCUUGUCAUCUAUCUUCCCCUGGCCUAGGAAAUUCUCAGCGUGUGGACACUGGGUCAAAAAGACGUGCUCCACUCCAGGCACUUCUUCCUUGGUGGUAUGAGGUCCCUCUCAUUUCUGCUCACUUUUCUCUUUGUAUGUCAAAAGAGACUGACUCAAGACUCACCCUAAUCCUGUAGAUUGUGUCCUCCCUCAUUAACCUAACUGCCUCUAAUCCUGCCUCAUUAACAUCACAGAGGUUGGAAUUUACAACACAUAAGUAAUCACAUCAGAUCACAAAAUGCAGGACAACCACACAAUACUGGGAAUCAGGGUCUGGCCAGGUUGACACAUAUUUUGGGGGACACUAUUCAAUCCAUAACAAUAGAGAAAACACUGUCUUCAAUGCCAGAUUCAGAGACUUUUAUCCAUCUGUGAAGGGCAAACACAGAAAUUGAACAAAAUUCAGACCAGCGAAUUAUUGCUUGCUCUUGUAACUAAUGACUUCUUCUGGUCUCUAUGCCUGGAAAUGGCCAAAAAGAAUUCUGUGAGGAUUAAUUCAGUUAUUGCUCAAACAUCUACUGCAUUUACAUGUCUACAGAUAAGGAAGAAUGCUGGACACCAUGUGUGAUUCAUUAAGUAACACGGGGACCAUUAGACUAUUGUUCUCCUUCUCUGAUAUGCCACUAUCACCUUCUCCCCUUGUUGCUCUCCUGAAAAACCCACGCUUGUAUAUUCUAGGCUUUUAUCCAGGAUUGAAUUUGCAAGAAGUUAAAGAUAUAUCUUUGAAAGAUAAAGAAGACUUUGGCCACAUUGUCUUUAGACAGUUGAACUUCCCAGCCAACCUCUGUGCAGGAUGGGAAUUCACAAUCCCUCCUACUCAGUACCUCUGAGCAGGACGGGAUUUCUGUUUCAUUGUCAGGAGAAGGCGGAAUUCAGCCUUCUUCAGAAAACUUACUUUCCUUUGCCUCAAACUGUCCCUCUCAGGAUCUGUCACGGUCACUCUGAGAAAUUCACAUGGGCAGCCUGUAUGGAAGUGCCCAUCCUAGAGGCCCUGCCCUCCCUUCCUUGCUCCACAGGGCUUCCUCUGACACUUGGGGUCACAUCUCCCAGGGAGUACACACCUCUGGCACUUCCAGGGAUUCCCAGGCCCUGGGAUACUGUGGAUUGGACUUGGAACUCAAUCUGUUUCUUCCCAUCCUCACCUUUGAUUAUCUGUGUUCUGUCUUCACCAGAUUUAGGAGGCCUUGUCUUCUCUUUGCUCGUUUCAUCUCAGUCAGGCUUUUCCAUUCCAACUCUCUGAUCUCAGAACAGAUCAGGUUAGACCACAGAGAAGACAAAGACCAAGCAAACAUCACUGAUCUG